AACGAACGCUGGCGGCAGGCUUAACACAUGCAAGUCGAGCGCCCCGCAAGGGGAGCGGCAGACGGGUGAGUAACGCGUGGGAACGUACCUUUUGGUUCGGAACAACUCCGGGAAACUGGAGCUAAUACCGGAUAAGCCCUAACGGGGAAAGAUUUAUCGCCGAAAGAUCGGCCCGCGUCUGAUUAGCUAGUUGGUGAGGUAACGGCGCACCAAGGCGACGAUCAGUAGCUGGUCUGAGAGGAUGAUCAGCCACACUGGGACUGAGACACGGCCCAGAAUCCUACGGGAGGCAGCAGUGGGGAAUAUUGGACAAUGGGCGCAAGCCUGAUCCAGCCAUGCCGCGUGAGUGAAGAAGGCCUUAGGGUUGUAAAGCUAUUUUGUACGGGAAGAUAAUGACUGUACCGGAAGAAUAAGCCCCGGCUAACUUCGUG
rnacentral:rRNA from 1 species